rnacentral:rRNA from 1 species
UGCAAGUCGAGCGGAUGAAGAGAGCUUGCUCUCUGAUUCAGCGGCGGACGGGUGAGUAAUGCCUAGGAAUCUGCCUGGUAGUGGGGGACAACGUUUCGAAAGGAACGCUAAUACCGCAUACGUCCUACGGGAGAAAGCAGGGGACCUUCGGGCCUUGCGCUAUCAGAUGAGCCUAGGUCGGAUUAGCUAGUUGGUGAGGUAAUGGCUCACCAAGGCGACGAUCCGUAACUGGUCUGAGAGGAUGAUCAGUCACACUGGAACUGAGACACGGUCCAGACUCCUACGGGAGGCAGCAGUGGGGAAUAUUGGACAAUGGGCGAAAGCCUGAUCCAGCCAUGCCGCGUGUGUGAAGAAGGUCUUCGGAUUGUAAAGCACUUUAAGUUGGGAGGAAGGGCAGUAAAUUAAUACUUUGCUGUUUUGACGUUACCGACAGAAUAAGCACCGGCUAACUCUGUGCCAGCAGCCGCGGUAAUACAGAGGGUGCAAGCGUUAAUCGGAAUUACUGGGCGUAAAGCGCGCGUAGGUGGUUCGUUAAGUUGGAUGUGAAAGCCCCGGGCUCAACCUGGGAACUGCAUUCAAAACUGACGAGCUAGAGUA